UGAACAUGUUAGGCCACAUUUAAAAAAAUGUCUGUUUCCCCUCCCCCGGGUCUACUCUUUGUAAACAGACCAGGCAGGCAGGUAAUUUUUUUUUUCAACUGGAUGUCAUGGAUGGUUUGACUUGUCCACUGGAGGCCACUUAUCAGUUGUUAGUGCUCAAUUUGAGUGUAUUUAUUUAGAUUAUCAAUCCUUUUGGUAAUAGUAAUGCAUAAAAUGCAUUUGACAUCCUAAUGAGAAAAGCUAAUACUCAGGCAAACUCGAAAGUGCCUUCCAAACUUGAUGAAACAGUACCAAGAUUUACUGGUAAGUAUGUUAAAAUUAUUUAAGGUAAGAAUUUUCUUUAUUUCUUGGAAGGCUUGAGAUGGUGUAUGGUUCAUGUCAUAAAUUAACCUGCCCCACACCAA
rnacentral:lncRNA from 1 species